rnacentral:rRNA from 1 species
CCUACGGGAGGCAGCAGUGGGGAAUAUUGGGCAAUGGGCGAAAGCCUGACCCAGCAACGCCGCGUGAAGGAAGAAGGCUUUCGGGUUGUAAACUUCUUUUGACAGGGAAGAGCAGAAGACGGUACCUGUCGAAUAAGCCACGGCUAACUACGUGCCAGCAGCCGCGGUAAUACGUAGGUGGCAAGCGUUGUCCGGAUUUACUGGGGGUAAAGGGCGUGUAGCCGGGCUGACAAGUCAGAUGUGAAAUCCGGGGGCUCAACCCCCGAACUGCAUUUGAAACUGUUGGUCUUGAGUAUCGGAGAGGCAGGCGGAAUUCCUAGUGUAGCGGUGAAAUGCGUAGAUAUUAGGAGGAACACCAGUGGCGAAGGCGGCCUGCUGGACGACAACUGACGGUGAGGCGCGAAAGCGUGGGGAGCAAACAGGAUUAGAUACCCGUGUAGUC